ACUCCUACGGGAGGCAGCAGUGGGGAAUUUUGGACAAUGGGCGCAAGCCUGAUCCAGCCAUGCCGCGUGAGUGAAGAAGGCCUUCGGGUUGUAAAGCUCUUUCAGUUGGGAAGAAACGAUUGCAACUAAUAAUUGUAAUUAAUGACGGUACCGACAGAAGAAGCACCGGCUAACUACGUGCCAGCAGCCGCGGUAAUACGUAGGGUGCGAGCGUUAAUCGGAAUUACUGGGCGUAAAGGGUGCGCAGGCGGUUUUGUAAGUCAGAUGUGAAAUCCCCGGGCUUAACCUGGGAAUGGCGUUUGAAACUGCAAGGCUAGAGUGUAGCAGAGGGGAGUGGAAUUCCGCGUGUAGCAGUGAAAUGCGUAGAUAUGCGGAGGAACACCGAUGGCGAAGGCAGCUCCCUGGGCUAACACUGACGCUCAUGCACGAAAGCGUGGGGAGCAA
rnacentral:rRNA from 1 species